CCUACGGGAGGCUGCAGUGGGGAAUAUUGGGCAAUGGGCGCAAGCCUGACCCAGCAAAGCCGCGUGAAGGAAGAAGGCUUUCGGGUUGGAAACUUCUUUUCUCAGGGACGAAGAAAGUGACGGUACCUGAGGAAUAAGCCACGGCUAACUACGUGCCAGCAGCCGCGGUAAUACGUGGGUGGCAAGCGUUAUCCGGAUUUAAUGGGUGUAAAGGGCGUGUAGGCGGGACUGCAAGUCAGAUGUGAAAACGACGGGCACAACCUGUGGCCUGCAUUUGAAACUGUAGUUCUUGAGUACUGGAGAGGCAGACGGAAUUCGUAGUGUAGCGGUGAAAUGCGUAGAUAUCAGGCGGAACACCAGUGGCGAAGGCGGUCUGCUGGACAGCAACUGACGCUGAGGCGCGAAAGCGUGGGGAGCGAACAGGAUUAGAUACCCGUGUAGUC
rnacentral:rRNA from 1 species